rnacentral:piRNA from 1 species
CAUCCAAAACUUAGUACAUCAGCCAUGGC